GAUCCUGGCUCAGGAUGAACGCUAGCGACAGGCUUAACACAUGCAAGUCGAGGGGCAUCAUGAGGUAGCAAUACCUUGAUGGCGACCGGCGCACGGGUGAGUAACGCGUAUGCAACCUGCCUGAUACCGGGGUAUAGCCCGAUGGAAACGUGGAUUAACAUCCCAUAGUACUUUUAUCCUGCAUGGGAUGUGAGUUUAAAUGUUUAAGGUAUCGGAUGGGCAUGCGUCCUAUUAGG
rnacentral:rRNA from 1 species